rnacentral:rRNA from 1 species
GGAUUAGAUACCCUGGUAGUCCACGCCGUAAACGAUGCACACUAGGUCGCGGGAGCUCUCACGCUUUCGCGGCCGAAGCAAAAGCGUUAAGUGUGCCGCCUGGGGAGUACGGUCGCAAGGCUAAAACCCAAAGGAAUUGACGGGGGCUCACACAAGCGGUGGAGCAUGUUGCUUAAUUCGAGACAACGCGAAGAACCUUACCUGGGUUUGACAUGCACGGAUUAACCUUUCGAAAGAUAGGCCACGCCCUUUGGGUGGAACGUGCACAGGUGCUGCAUGGCUGUCGUCAGCUCGUGCUG